GAGCGAACGGGGAUUAGCCCUUAAGCUUCAUUGAUUUUAGCGGAACGCUCUGGAAAGUGCGGCCAUAGUGGGUGAUAGCCCCGUACGCGAAAGGAUCUUUGAAGUGAAAUCGAGUAGGACGGAGCACGAGAAACUUUGUCUGAACAUGGGGGGACCAUCCUCCAAGGCUAAAUACUACUGACUGACCGAUAGUGAACCAGUACCGUGAGGGAAAGGCGAAAAGAACCCCGGAGAGGGGAGUGAAAUAGAACCUGAAACCGUAUGCGUACAAGCAGUGGGAGCCUACUUGUUAGGUGACUGCGUACCUUUUGUAUAAUGGGUCAGCGACUUAUAUUCAGUGGCAAGCUUAACCGUAUAGGGUAGGCGUAGCGAAAGCGAGUCUUAAUAGGGCGUUUAGUCGCUGGGUAUAGACCCGAAACCGGGCGAUCUAUCCAUGAGCAGGUUGAAGGUUAGGUAACACUGACUGGAGGACCGAACCCACUCCCGUUGAAAAGGUAGGGGAUGACUUGUGGAUCGGAGUGAAAGGCUAAUCAAGCUCGGAGAUAGCUGGUUCUCCUCGAAAGCUAUUUAGGUAGCGCCUCAUGUAUCACUCUGGGGGGUAGAGCACUGUUUCGGCUAGGGGGUCAUCCCGACUUACCAAACCGAUGCAAACUCCGAAUACCCAGAAGUGCCGAGCAUGGGAGACACACGGCGGGUGCUAACGUCCGUCGUGAAAAGGGAAACAACCCAGACCGCCAGCUAAGGUCCCAAAGUUGUGGUUAAGUGGUAAACGAUGUGGGAAGGCUUAGACAGCUAGGAGGUUGGCUUAGAAGCAGCCACCCUUUAAAGAAAGCGUAAUAGCUCACUAGUCGAGUCGGCCUGCGCGGAAGAUGUAACGGGGCUCAAACCACACACCGAAGCUGCGGGUGUCACGUAAGUGACGCGGUAGAGGAGCGUUCUGUAAGCCUGUGAAGGUGAGUUGAGAAGCUUGCUGGAGGUAUCAGAAGUGCGAAUGCUGACAUGAGUAACGACAAUGGGUGUGAAAAACACCCACGCCGAAAGACCAAGGGUUCCUGCGCAACGUUAAUCGACGCAGGGUUAGUCGGUUCCUAAGGCGAGGCUGAAAAGCGUAGUCGAUGGGAAACAGGUUAAUAUUCCUGUACUUCUGGUUACUGCGAUGGAGGGACGGAGAAGGCUAGGCCAGCUUGGCGUUGGUUGUCCAAGUUUAAGGUGGUAGGCUGAAAUCUUAGGUAAAUCCGGGGUUUCAAGGCCGAGAGCUGAUGACGAGUCGUCUUUUAGAUGACGAAGUGGUUGAUGCCAUGCUUCCAAGAAAAGCUUCUAAGCUUCAGGUAACCAGGAACCGUACCCCAAACCGACACAGGUGGUCGGGUAGAGAAUACCAAGGCGCUUGAGAGAACUCGGGUGAAGGAACUAGGCAAAAUGGCACCGUAACUUCGGGAGAAGGUGCGCCGGCUAGGGUGAAGGAUUUACUCCGUAAGCUCUGGCUGGUCGAAGAUACCAGGCCGCUGCGACUGUUUAUUAAAAACACAGCACUCUGCAAACACGAAAGUGGACGUAUAGGGUGUGACGCCUGCCCGGUGCCGGAAGGUUAAUUGAUGGGGUUAGCGCAAGCGAAGCUCUUGAUCGAAGCCCCGGUAAACGGCGGCCGUAACUAUAACGGUCCUAAGGUAGCGAAAUUCCUUGUCGGGUAAGUUCCGACCUGCACGAAUGGCGUAACGAUGGCGGCGCUGUCUCCACCCGAGACUCAGUGAAAUUGAAAUCGCUGUGAAGAUGCAGUGUAUCCGCGGCUAGACGGAAAGACCCCGUGAACCUUUACUGUAGCUUUGCACUGGACUUUGAGCCUGCUUGUGUAGGAUAGGUGGGAGGCUUUGAAGCGUGGACGCCAGUUCGCGUGGAGCCAUCCUUGAAAUACCACCCUGGCAUGCUUGAGGUUCUAACUCUGGUCCGUGAUCCGGAUCGAGGACAGUGUAUGGUGGGCAGUUUGACUGGGGCGGUCUCCUCCUAAAGAGUAACGGAGGAGUACGAAGGUGCGCUCAGACCGGUCGGAAAUCGGUCGCAGAGUAUAAAGGCAAAAGCGCGCUUGACUGCGAGACAGACACGUCGAGCAGGUACGAAAGUAGGUCUUAGUGAUCCGGUGGUUCUGUAUGGAAGGGCCAUCGCUCAACGGAUAAAAGGUACUCCGGGGAUAACAGGCUGAUACCGCCCAAGAGUUCAUAUCGACGGCGGUGUUUGGCACCUCGAUGUCGGCUCAUCACAUCCUGGGGCUGAAGCCGGUCCCAAGGGUAUGGCUGUUCGCCAUUUAAAGUGGUACGCGAGCUGGGUUUAGAACGUCGUGAGACAGUUCGGUCCCUAUCUGCCGUGGACGUUUGAGAUUUGAGAGGGGCUGCUCCUAGUACGAGAGGACCGGAGUGGACGAACCUCUGGUGUUCCGGUUGUCACGCCAGUGGCAUUGCCGGGUAGCUAUGUUCGGAAAAGAUAACCGCUGAAAGCAUCUAAGCGGGAAACUUGCCUCAAGAUGAGAUCUCACUGGGAACUUGAUUCCCCUGAAGGGCCGUCGAAGACUACGACGUUGAUAGGCUGGGUGUGUAAGCGUUGUGAGGCGUUGAGCUAACCAGUACUAAUUGCCCGUGAGGCUUGACCA
rnacentral:rRNA from 1 species